CAUGUCUUUUUGCUAAUGAUUUAAAGUCUGGCCUGCUCGAUGAGUUUUAAAUUGCCGCAGUAUUUUGACUGUGCAAAGGUAGCAUAAUAAUUAGUUUCUUAAUUAGGAGCUUGAAUGAAUGGUUUAACAAGAAAAUUACUGUCUCUAUUUUAUUUUUUAUUGAAUUUUAUUUUUAAGUUAAAAGGCUUAAAUUUUUUUAAAAGACGAGAAGACCCUAUAGAGUUUUAUUAUUUGGUUUAUUUAUUAUUUAGAAAUUUAAUUAGACUAAUUAAUUUGGUUGGGGUGACUCAUGGAUUAAUUAAAUUCUUUGAUUAUGGGAUUGUUGAUUUUUAAAUUUAUUUUCUGUAUUUUCAAGUUUAAAUUAAAUUACCUUAGGGAUAACAGCGUAAUUUUCCUUUAAAGUUCUUAUUAAAAGGAGAGUUUGCGACCUCGAUGUUGGAUUAAAAUAAAUUUUUGGUGCAGUAACUUAGGGAUUAGGUCUGUUCGACCUUUAAAAUUUUACAUGAUCUGAGUUUAGACCGGCGUGAGCCAGGUUAGAUUCUAUCUUUAGAAUUUUUUGAUAUUUUAGUACGAAAGGACCAAAUAUUGAUUAUAAUAAUUGUUACUUUGGCAGAUUAGUGUAUUUGAUUUAGAAUCAUUUUAAGUAUUUUAUUACAAGUAAUAUUUGAUAUUAAUAGAUUUGUUGAUGAUUUUAAUUUGUAUAAUUGUUUUUAUUUUGUUUAUUUUGGUUGGAGUAGCUUUUUUUACUUUACUUGAACGGAAGGUUUUAGGCUAUAUUCAAAUUCGUA
rnacentral:rRNA from 1 species